UCAGGAUGGUCUUGAACUCGAAGUGAUCCUCUUGCCUCAGCUUUCCCAAUGCUGGGAUUACAGGCGUGUGCCACCCCGCCCGGGACCUGUCACUUUUUAAUACACUACAGAUCAGCUUAUGAUUGACAAAUAAUAAGCGCUCUCUUCACCACCCUAGAGUACCCUGUUUUUGCUUCACAAAUGUCUGCAGCGCCUGGCAUCCAGUGAACGUCCUGAAACAACCAUGGAGCUCGGGUGGACCCCUCUUCGCACAAGCAUCGAGGGCCACAGUUGCCGAAAAAUGUAAUCGUCCACCGCAAGAAUUUCCAACCCUAGCGAGGGUCCGAAGAAAACUACAACUCCCAGAUGGCUCUCGCGCGGGGCUCUGCGUUCUCGUCAUCGACUGUGCGCGGCCCGGCCGGAGUCGUACUGCACGCGUGCGCGCUCAAAGGGACUGCUCCUCCCAGAAGUCCCCGCACGUCGUCCUCCUCGCCCUCCAGGCCACUUCUCCCGCCGUUGCCCGUUGUCUGCUGCCGCCGUUGUUCGUCUACCAUCGCUUCCAUGCUGUCUGCCACACUGCUCCGCCGUCUUGGCCUGGGCCACCUCGUGCGCCAGGCGCGUGCCUACGCCGAGGCUGCCUCUGCCCCGGCUCCCGCCGCCGGUCCCGCCCAGAUGUCCUUCACCUUCGCCUCCCCUACACAGGUGUUCUUCAACCGUGCCAACGUGCGGCAGGUGGACGUCCCCACACUGACUGGAGCCUUUGGCAUCCUGGCAUCCCACGUGCCCACUCUACAGGUCCUACGGCCAGGGCUGGUUGUGGUCCACGCUGAAGAUGGCACGACUACUAAGUACUUUGUGAGCAGUGGAUCUGUCACAGUGAACGCUGACUCCUCCGUACAGUUACUGGCUGAAGAGGCAGUGACACUGGACAUGUUGGACCUGGGGACGGCCAGGGCAAAUCUGGAGAAGGCGCAGUCGGAACUGUCCGGGGCUGCGGAUGAGGCCUCACGAGCAGAGAUCCAAAUCCGAAUCGAAGCCAACGAGGCCCUGGUGAAGGCCCUCGAGUAGGCGGGUGCGUGCCCCUCAUCGCCAGGGAAGCAGGCCAGGCCAGGGAUGUCCCAGGGGCUUGCUGACCAGGGGCCUGUCAUCUGGUCGGGUCUCCCGACAGCCACCCACUUCCCUGCGCAGUCUGCCUUGGAGACCUGCCUGCUCCAGCCACCUCCACAGAAGAGCUACCCCGGCUCCUAUUCCCCUAUUAAAGACAAGGAAUCCCGA